AACGCACAUUGCGCCCUCUGGUAUUCCGGGGGGCAUGCCUGUUCGAGCGUCAUAACACCCCUCAAGCGUAGCUUGGUCUUGGGCCUUUCGUCAUUGGUGACGAGCCUGAAAAUCAGUGGUGGAUGCCCUUAUGGUUCCUGAUGCAGUAGUUGCUUUCUCAUCUGGAAGGCCUAAGGAUGUCUUGCCAAAACAAUUCAAGCAGCGAUGCUUGAAUAUUCUAUAGUUUGACCUCGGAUCAGGUAGGGAUACCCGCUGAACUUAA
rnacentral:misc_RNA from 1 species